rnacentral:rRNA from 1 species
UACGAAGGGGGCUAGCGUUGUUCGGAAUUACUGGGCGUAAAGCGCACGUAGGCGGGUUGUUAAGUCAGGGGUGAAAUCCCGGAGCUCAACUCCGGAACUGCCUUUGAUACUGGCAACCUAGAGGCUGGAAGAGGUUAGUGGAAUUCCCAGUGUAGAGGUGAAAUUCGUAGAUAUUAGGAAGAACACCAGUGGCGAAGGCGGCUCACUGGUCCGGUACUGACGCUGAGGCGCGAAAGCGUGGGGAGCAAACAGG